AUAUAUAUAUAUAUAUAUAUAUAUAUAUAUCAUGUUUUAUAUUAUAUUAAUUCAUAUAUUAUGUCAAACUCUAAACCUCAGCCCUAGUACUUUAUGAGAACCAGUAAAGUAAAAAAGACAGUUUUUUUUGAGCUGCCUGAGGGAGUAGAGAGUAACGUCUUGCAUGAAGAUUUGCGAAUCGGUUAAGAACAGCAACUUCAUCAGUGAUGUCAACCACAUUGCUUUUAAUUGAGAGAAUCGCUAAGUUGUUCAGACGAGUUUGGUCUAUAGUACUGCGUAGCCACGUGUGGAGACGUCUCAAUGAACUGAAAGAUCGCUCACAUGUGCAGCUAGUUACUGGUAUGGUAAGUGCAACCUGAAGUACCUGUAUUACAAACGGAAACAUAAUUCCUCUCUCUGUAGCUGAAUUUUGUAAUGUUUUGCAAGUUUCUCUAGGCAUUCUUCAGAGAGAAAGCUUUCUUACUUUGUACUACAUGCAAACAAACCACUUUUAUAAUUUCCCCCUUUAAAUUGUGUUGCUUCAUCAAUGCUCAGUAAAAAAUAUUUAAAAAAAUGUCUGUAAUCAUACACUGUGAGAUUAGUAAACAACACAUUUUCCUUAAAGGUGCCAUAUGUAAUAUAUUUAAUGGACUAAAGCAUACAAUUACCAUAAAAUGUUAUCAGAAAUUUUGGAAACAUGCUAAGUUCAAAUACUGGCUUCUCUGAAAACAAUGCUACAGCCAGUAAGUAUGUAUUCUACUUUGAAAUGUCCGUUCAGGGCCAGGGGUGUAUUCCAGAAAGCAGGGUUAAUUUACCGUCACAUGUACCCGGAACUCUCGGUUGAUUAACCCAUUCCUUGCUUACUCUGGGUAUGUUGGUUCCAGAACACCUGCGCGGGGUUAGUUCACUCAACCAAGAGUUUGAAACUCAAGAGUUUGUGCACGUUCACGGUGAACUCAGAAAGGCAUUCUCAGCAGAUCGCCGAAUCCACGAGUCACCAUGGAAACAGACGCAAGAAGAAAGGCGCGCCAUAUUUCAGUGAAGCAUAACAUGAAGUUUUAAUGACUGCAAACGAGCAUUACUUCAUCUUCACUCGUAAUAGCGAUAGGUGCUACAUUGGUUUAGGACUGAGAGUUUGCUUGAUAGAAAUUAUACUGAAUCAUUGCGUGAAUUUUAAAAUUAAUCAAACUAUAAAGUUCUACCGUACAUAUAAAAUCUUAAUUCAACAUUAAUAUUAGACCUCACUCAACUACAUUAAUGUUUAAUAGGUCGACCGUUACGUUAUUUGUUUGCACUGUACUUCAUUGUAAGUAUUAACAUUCAUAUAUAUUAAUAUUAUGAUAACAGGCUAUAGGUUUUAUAUAUAUUUUAUUUUAAGAUACAUUUUAAUGGUAUUUACCAUGAUCUGUGUAUGCUAAUUUUAUUUUACUGUCAUGUAAACUGAAUGUAUUUCCUUUAUUUUUAAUACCCUUUGAUGUACCCAGUUGGGGUUUCUAAAAUCAUAUCACCUUUAAUUUCCCACAGUUGCUGAUAGUCUCAAUGUAUUAACAGACCCUCUUUCAACUGUAGGAUCUCCCAUAGUUGUCAUCAUUUUCCAUUGAUUUAAUGUAAUGUUUUUUAGUAGGCCACACAUGAUUAUUCAUGUGCAUUAUAAGAUGAAGAUCUGCUGUAACAGAGGUGGACAGUGAUAGGAGUUACAUGUCCAUUGUGUUAUUUUCUCAUUUGAUGUACAGUAGGGUCCAUCUGCCUCCACCAACUUGGUACGGAAUGAAAUUAUGUUGUUUUAACUGAAGAUCGUGUGUCUGACUAUACAUUAUAUAUGUUAUGAUCUCAGCAUUAGGGAGAAGUAACUCAUCUCUUCCUUGUUAAUAAGAAGCUGUAAAAGGUCCCUAUUGAAAUGCAGAACAAAAAUGAAAUUUAGAGAUGGACCAUGUACAGUUUCUGAUGAGGUAGAGGAGGCUGAGCAUCAGAAAGAUACAUCUUUUCAUUGAAUCACCUGAGCACCAGCUAAAUGAGGUCACUGUACAAUGUAAAAAAAAAAAGAUAUUUUUUUACUGACAUUUACCGUAAAUAAUUAUAGAAUUUCUGUCUUUUUCAUAAUAAGAGAAUAUACCUGUAAAAUACAGAAAAACCACGUUUUUCAAUAAAUCUGCUGUAAAAGUACAGUCAAAGUCUGUAACUUUAAAUUAUAAGAAUCCACCAUUUUUGUUUUUUAUGCAUGUUUGCUGUAAAUUUUAAGUAAUAAACACACUAUGAAACCUAAUGAAAAUCAAUUUUACAGAACUGUUCUGUAAAAUUACUUACAAUACACACACAGAAACACCCACCGGAAAUAAAAUAAUAAAGGAUAUUUUGAUAUUUUAAAAAUAAUUUAAUAAUGUCAAACUGUUAAGUAAUUCAUUACCCCUCUCUUUAAAAAAAUGUGGUAAAUUGUAAUAUCAGUUUAUGUUUGGCAGAAUAAAACUUUAUUCCACAGAACCACAGAAAAUGAGGUCAGCAAACAGUUCUGUGUUGUGACUGGACAAAAUCGUCGUUGCCGGAACUGUUCAGCCAAUGAAUGCCCGAGAAUCAGUGCCAGUUGCGCCAGGAGAGCUAUCUGAAGAAGGAAGAGACAGCCUGGCUGCACAGAAGUCCGUGUUCACGCCAAGUGUUAAUAUUUAGCAUCAACUAAAGAAAACCUCAUCAAGCAAACAGACGUGACCAAGACGAGGCGGUGGCCACUGGUUUAAUGAUGGCUAACAAGAUCAUUGAGAGAAGCCGCCCACAGUGUCCAAAGCCUGGAGUUAUGGAAUUUUCUUCCUUAUGGAUGCCUCCUAAGAUGACUGACAUCUUUCUCAGAGUUAAUGUUAAAACUUUUAUGUAGUGACGGCUAAGGGUGAGUGAAUUGAGACUGAAGAAAACUAAAGUGCACAGUGAUAACGAACAGUGACAUGUCAUUCUAUGAGAUAUUUGAUGUGAGCAUUUCAUAUAGUUAAAGGUGGGGUAUGCGAUUCUGGAGAAAUCCAAUACCAUGACAAAUACCAUGAUAUAGAACGAACAUCGACACAUCAAGUAAUGUAACUAACGUCAGCUAGGUUGUGGGUUAGCAAACUGUCUCUACAGUUGCUGCUGUGAAGCUAACAGCCAGAGAAGAUAAGACGGUUUCCCAGAGCCAACAAUCCAGCUCCAGACAGCGAUACUCACAACUCUCCUGCUACUAUAGCUAACAUCACAAAAACAGCAUAUCUUGGCAAGCUAGAAAGUAAGCUGAAUGUCCGUGGGCAAGUAAUGUAACAUUCCCUGACACACAAAUCAUGGCUGGAAUAGUGUUGUGUGGCUCGGUCAUUCCCAUUUACAGAGCCAGGGCUGUGUACAAACACAGGAGUAUUUUUCAAUGCACACACUGAACGGACUGCUAGCAUUUUUUGACAAAAAGACAUGUAUUGGAUUAGAAUUGCAUACCCCACCUUCAAAGUCCCAAUCCUUUAAAUUUUUUCAGCACACUUUCCAUCUUACUGUUACUGUUGAAAAUGCACUAAACAACUGUGUGUAGGCCCCUUAUAAGGACUGUAACAACUGUUUCGGUAUUAGGUUCUGUAAUUGGCUCUUGUUCUUUGUAUGGGGGGGGGGGUUUAUGUAAAAAAUAUUAAGAACACUUUACCCUAUUAUUUCACCAUUUUAAUUCUACUUAAUUCUCCACCUUAUUUUAGUGUUUACUCAUAGCUACUUUAAUCUGCUCACCUUUUCCCUUCAUGUCUCUACCUCCGCUCUGCCUUUUUCUGUUUCUCUCUCCCACAACCAGCGAUUCCAUUUUCACAGCAGCAGGUGAGCCGCGUGUGGAGGAGGCUUGCUGUUAAUGACGUUGCCUAUCAAAACGAUCACUGUUGCUUUACCUGGUCCGUGCUUAUAAAAUAUCCACUGUGUCGUCUUCUAACGUAAUACCAGAGAACGUCUCUCUCUCUCUCUGUUUCUCUGCAGAGCAUGUGCGAUUGUCAGUAGACCGCACGGGAGGAGGCAGAGCUAGGGGAGAUUGUCCACUAAUUAAUUAAUAGCAGAUGGUGUCAUUCUAAAAAUAAAAAAUGCUAAAAUGGGUUGCCAAUUAUACCUGAGCGGUAGGGGUGUAACUGUACACAAAAUUCACGGUUCAGUACGUUUUCGGUACAGCAGGGAAAAUAAAAAAUUUAUAUAUUUUUGUAAUUUAUUCUGAAAAAUGCAAACAUUCAACAGUGGCUCAUUGGCCAUAAUUCUUACUGUACAGUUAAUGUCAUAUUGUCAAUAAGAAAAAAUAAAUAACACAGAUGUCAGUAAUACUCCAUCGUAAGACUCUGACUUGCUGAUAAUUCCUGCACAGUUGCAGCUUGCACUGAUUUAUACAGGGCAGGCACAAUGGACUAACUAAAAUGCACACGUGAAGGGACAUUGUAGCGAGGGUCAAGCACUUUUGGCAAUUUUCCACUACACAUUACGGUUCGACUCGACUCGACUCUGCUCGCUUUACUUUUCUGAGCUUGCUUUUCCACUGCAGUUUAGUGCCGCCUCAACAUGGGUGGGAUUAUAGGCUGAUCAUCAAUAGUUGCGCCACCUCUACUGCUGUUUUAGAAGCAAGCUUUCCAGUAGCUGGUCAACUAAAUAAAGUGAAGCUUUCAAGCAGAAUAUAGAGUUAACGUAACAAAAGUACCAUCCUCCAUCGUGGAAUCCAACAACGCCAUGGCACUCUCCCUUCCAUUGCUCGCCGGUCUAUUGCCAUAGAUAGCGUCCAUUUGGUCAAACCACUUCCACUUUCUUCUGUUUGAACCACACUGGCUGUUGUGGUCCUUGAUGGUUCUGUAGUCACUUAAGUUUUUUUUAAACUUUUCCCUAAACUGUUGGUAGGUCCGGUGGUAGCCGUGUGCGGCCAACAUCCGAGACACUUCCUGAAAGACUUUUUCGUUUCACGUAAUUUGUUCGUCACUAAUGAGAGGAACGUCUGCACUUAUAUAUAAUGUAUAUGUACAGGUGCAUCUCAAUAAAUUAGUAUGUCGUAGAAAAGUUCAUUUAUUUCAGUAAUUUAAUUCAAAAAGUGGAACUUUCAUAUAUUCUAGAUUCAUUACACAAAGUUAAAUAUUUCGUGCCUUUUUUUGUUGUAAUCUUGAUGAUUACGGCUUAAGCUCAUGGAAAUCAAAAAUCCAGUAUCUCAAAAUAUUAGAAUAAAGAAUUUAUAAUACAGAAAUGUCGACCUUCUGAAAAGUAUGUUAAUUUAUGCACUCAAUACUUGGUUGGGGCUCCUUUUGCAUGAAUUACUGCAUCAAUUACUGUCUCUCAUGUUCCUCUUGACAAUACCCCAUAGAUUCUCUAUGGUGUUCAGGUCAGGCGAGUUGGCUGGCCAAUCAAGCACAGUAAUACCAUGGUCAGCAAACCAGUUACUAGUAGUUUUGGCACUGUGGGCAGGUGCUAAGUCCUGCUGGAAAAGGAAAUCAGCAUCUCCAUAAAGCUUGUCAGCAGAUGGAAGCAGAUGCCCCAAAAUCUCCUGGUAGAUGGCUGCAUUGACUCUCGAUAUAUAUGUGUGUGUGUGUAUGUGUAUGUGUAUAUGUAUGUAUGUAUGUAUAUAUAUAUAUAUAUAUAUA